CCUACGAGAGGCAGCAGUGGGGGAUAUUGGACAAUGGGGGAAACCCUGAUCCAGCGACGCCGCGUGAGUGAAGAAGUAUUUCGGUAUGUAAAGCUCUAUCAGCAGGGAAGAAAGACAUGACGGUACCUGAGUAAGAAGCCCCGGCUAACUACGUGCCAGCAGCCGCGGUAAUACGUAGGGGGCAAGCGUUAUCCGGAAUUACUGGGUGUAAAGGGAGCGUAGACGGUAAUGCAAGUCUGGAGUGAAAGGCGGGGGCCCAACCCCCGGACUGCUCUGGAAACUGUGUAACUGGAGUGCAGGGGAGGCAGGCGGAAUUCCUAGUGUAGCGGUGAAAUGCGUAGAUAUUAGGAGGAACACCAGUGGCGAAGGCGGCCUGCUGGACUGUAACUGACGUUGAGGCUCGAAAGCGUGGGGAGCAAACAGGAUUAGAUACCCUAGUAGUC
rnacentral:rRNA from 1 species